UCGGGAAUAGCGCGCACCCAGCAAGA
rnacentral:piRNA from 1 species